rnacentral:rRNA from 1 species
AACGAACGCUGGCGGCAUGCUUAACACAUGCAAGUUGAACGCAGAAUAGAGCUUCGGCUCUAUUGCUGAGUAGCAAACGGGUGAGUAACGCGUGGGAAUCUGCCUUCUUGUGGGGGAUAACUAAGGGAAACUUUAGCUAAUACCGCAUACGCUCUACGGAGGAAAGGCUUCGGCCGCAAGAAGAGGAGCCCGCGUCAGAUUAGGUAGUUGGUAGGGGUAAAGGCCUACCAAGCCAAUGAUCUGUAGCUGGUCUGAGAGGAUGAUCAGCCACACUGGGACUGAGACACGGCCCAGACUCCUACGGGAGGCAGCAGUGGGGAAUAUUGGACAA